UUUGGACCUAAAUGAAUUGCACGGGCGUAUAUAUUUACCGAAAGAAACAGAAAGAAGUCGGAGUGCCGGCCCCCGAGGUGUUAGACGAAGGCGGCCUGUACGGCCGCGGGCAGCCUUGAACAACAGGCGGUGAUGAUACUGGUGCAUACUGCAACCGGGGGUUGGAUGAAAGAGAAAGAUAAACUGUAAACUAGUGCAUCAGUUCAGUUAUAAAGAACAGGACUAUUGAUG